UGACGGCGUCCCGAGGUGAUUUUCGGGAUUUUCGGCGAGUUACGAUGAUCGGUUUUGGGAAACCGAUUUUGGGGACUUGUGUGGGGUUUGUGAGUCGUGAACUUUGGGUUUGUGAGUUGGGUAUUUUGGAUUGGUGGGUUGGUUACUAACCCGGUGGGAUCUUCGUAGGUCCGAUUGACUUGUUGCGCACUAGGUUCCCGACGCGAUAUUGUACAGGUGGGUGCUUCGAGCUGGUAGUCGGUGAGAUCGUUU
rnacentral:lncRNA from 1 species